UAAUCGGCCCCAGGAGAGGCAGAAGCCCCAAGCUUGCCCAAGUGGGCAGAGGGAUCCUCCUCCUGGCAUCACUGACUUUGCUGAAGCAGAGCGUUUAAACACCAGCGUAGAAGCGCCACGCUGAGGAAAGUUAGGCAGCGUGGAAAAGAAUAGCUGCCAUGGAAAUGGCAGCCUGAGCAGUCAUGACAAGCAGGAUAAAUCUUCCAGCCCAUGGAUGAUUUGUUAAGUGUUUUGCAAAUAUAUAUAUACAUGUUGCAGAUAUA